AACGCGAAGAACCUUACCUGGGUUAGACAACGCAAGACAGGAGUAGAGAUAUUCCCUUGUAGCAAUACACUUGCGGUUCAGGUGCUGCAUGGCUGUCGUCAGCUCGUAUCGUGAGAUGUCGGGUUAAGUCCCUUAACGAGCGCAACCCCUAUCCCUAGUUGCCAUCAUUUAGUUGGGCACUCUAUGGAGACCGCCGGCGUUAAGCCGGAGGAAGGCGGGGAUGACGUCAAGUCCUCAUGGCCCUUAUGUCCAGGGCUACACACGUGCUACAAUGGCCGGUACAAAGGGUUGCCAACCAGUAAUGGGGAGCUAAUCUCAGAAAGCCGGUCUCAGUUCGGAUUGAAGUCUGCAAUUCGACUUCAUGAAGCUGGAAUCGCUAGUAAUCGCAGAUCAGAACGCUGCGGUGAAUACGUUCCCGGGCCUUGUACACACCGCACUACUA
rnacentral:rRNA from 1 species